rnacentral:rRNA from 1 species
AACGCUAGCUACAGGCUUAACACAUGCAAGUCGAGGGGCAGCAUGGCGGGUGCUUGCAUCUGCCGAUGGCGACCGGCGCACGGGUGAGUAACGCGUAUCCAACCUGCCCAUCACUUGGGGAUAACCUUGCGAAAGUAAGACUAAUACCCAAUGACGUCUCUAGAAGACAUCUGAAAGAGAUUAAAGAUUUAUCGGUGAUGGAUGGGGAUGCGUCUGAUUAGCUUGUUGGCGGGGUAACGGCCCACCAAGGCGACGAUCAGUAGGGGUUCUGAGAGGAAGGUCCCCCACAUUGGAACUGAGACACGGUCCAAACUCCUACGGGAGGCAGCAGUGAGGAAUAUUGGUCAAUGGACGAGAGUCUGAACCAGCCAAGUAGCGUGCAGGAAGACGGCCCUAUGGGUUGUAAACUGCUUUUAUAAGGGAAUAAAGUGAGUCUCGUGAGACUUUUUGCAUGUACCUUAUGAAUAAGGACCGGCUAAUUCCGUGCCAGCAGCCGCGGUAAUACGGAAGGUCCGGGCGUUAUCCGGAUUUAUUGGGUUUAAAGGGAGCGUAGGCCGGAGAUUAAGCGUGUUGUGAAAUGUAGACGCUCAACGUCUGCACUGCAGCGCGAACUGGUUUCCUUGAGUACGCACAAAGUGGGCGGAAUUCGUGGUGUAGCGGUGAAAUGCUUAGAUAUCACGAAGAACUCCGAUUG